rnacentral:rRNA from 1 species
AGUGAACGCUGGCGGUAGGCCUAACACAUGCAAGUCGAACGGCAUCACAGUAAGAGCUUGCUCUUACGGGUGGCGAGUGGCGGACGGGUGAGGAAUACAUCGGCAUCUACUUUUUCGUGGGGGGUAACGUUUUGAAACUUACGCUAAUACCGCAUACGACCUACGGGUGAUAGCAGGGGAUCUUCGGACCUUGCGCGAUUGUAUUAGCCGAUGUCGUAUGAGCUAGUUGGCGGGGUAAAGGCCCACCAAGGCGGCGAUCCGUAGCUGGUAUGAGAAGAUGAUCAGCCACACUGGAACUGAGACACGGUCCAGACUCCUACGGGAGGCAGCAGUGGAGAAUAUUGGGCAAUGGGGGCGAGCCUGAUCCAGCCAUACCGCGUGAGUGAAGAAGGCCUUAGGGUUGUAAAGCCCAUUUGUUGGGAAAGAAAAGCAGCAGGUUAAUACCCCGCUGUUCUGACGGUACCCAAAGAAUAAGCACCGGCUAACUUCGUG